GGAGGAUUUGAUCCUGGUCCAGGAUGAACGCUGGCGGCGUGGAUAAGGCAUGCAAGUCGAGCGGUCCGACUUAGGUCGGACAGCGGCAGACGAGUUAGUAGCACCCUGGCAUCUACCCUUAAGUCAGGCAUAAGCCAUCGAAAGGUGGUCUAAUACCUGAUAGUUCCGGAAACGGUAAAGUCGCAAGACGCUUAAGGAGGAGCCUAGGCCCGAUCAGCUUGAUGGUGUCGGUAACGGCGCACCAUGGCUACGACCGGUAGGGGAGGUGAGAGCCUGACCCCCAACGACGGAACUGAGACACGGUCCGUACACCUACGGGUGGCCGCAGUCGAGAAUAUUCCACAAUGGGCGAAAGCCUGAUGGAGCGACGCCGCGUGCAGGAAGACGGCCUUCGGGUUGUAAACUGCUUUUCUAAGGGAAGAAUAUAUGACGGUACCUUAGGAAUAAGGAGUGGCUAAAUUCGUGCCAGCAGCAGCGGUAAUACGAAUACUCCAAGCGUUAUCCGAAUUUAUUGGGCGUAAAGCGUACGUAGGGGGCUUGAUGCGUCUGUUGUUAAAUCUCACCGCCCAACGGUGAGGCCGCAGCAGAUACGGUCAGGCUAGAGGAUGCGAGAGGUCUUAGGAACGCACGGUGUAGGGGUGGUAUCCGUUGAUAUCGUGCGGAACACCAAAGGCGAAGGCAAGAGACUGGCGUAUUCCUGACCCUGAGGUACGAAAGCGUGGGUAGCGAACGGGAUUAGAUACCCCGGUAGUCCACGCUGUAAACGAUGUCGGCUAGCUGUUUCGAGUAUCGACCCUCGGAGUGGCGCAGCUAACGCGGUAAGCCGACCGCCUGGGAAGUACGACCGCAAGGUUAAAACUCAAAGGAAUAGACGGGGGCUCGCACAAGCGGAGGAACAUGAGGUUUAAUUCGAUAUUAAGCGAGGAACCUUACCUGGGCUUGACAUCCCGACCACCACUUUCUGAAAGGAAGGUUUUCCUAAUUUAUUAGGAGGUCGGGACAGGUGCUGCAUGGUUGCCGUCAGCUCGUGUCUUGAGAUGUACCAUUAAGUUGGGAAACGAGCGCAACCCUCAUUAUCAGUUAUAUGUGUCUGGUGAAACUGCCCUGAUUCACAGGGAGGAAGGAGAGGAUGACGUCAAAUCAGCAUGGCCCUUUGAUGCCCAGGGCGACACUCAUGUUACAAUGGCCGAUACAAAGAGCUGCCAAGGAGCAAUCUGGAGCUAAUCUCUAAAAGUCGGCCCAAGUUCGGAUUGGAGGCUGCAACUCGCCUCCAUGAAGUCGGAUUCGCUAGUAAUCGCGCAUCAGCCAUGGCGCGGUGAAUACGUUCCCGAGCCUUGUACUCACCGCCCGUCACGUCAAGGGAGCCGGGAGUACCUGAAGCUUCAACUAGUUUGGAGUUAGGGUAAGUUCGGUGACAUGGACGAAGUCGUAACAAGGCACGUGUAGCGGAAGCUG
rnacentral:rRNA from 1 species